rnacentral:rRNA from 1 species
CCUACGGGGGGCAGCAGUGAGGAAUAUUGGUCAAUGGACGAGAGUCUGAACCAGCCAAGUAGCGUGAAGGAUGACUGCCCUAUGGGUUGUAAACUUCUUUUAUAUGGGAAUAAAACGUUCCACGUGUGGGAUUUUGUAUGUACCAUAUGAAUAAGGAUCGGCUAACUCCGUGCCAGCAGCCGCGGUAAUACGGAGGAUCCGAGCGUUAUCCGGAUUUAUUGGGUUUAAAGGGAGCGUAGGUGGAUUGUUAAGUCAGUUGUGAAAGUUUGCGGCUCAACCGUAAAAUUGCAGUUGAAACUGGCAGUCUUGAGUACAGUAGAGGUGGGCGGAAUUCGUGGUGUAGCGGUGAAAUGCUUAGAUAUCACGAAGAACUCCGAUUGCGAAGGCAGUUCACUGGACUGCAACUGACACUGAGGCUCGAAAGUGUGGGUAUCAAACAGGAUUAGAUACCCCUAGUAGUC